rnacentral:rRNA from 1 species
UACGUGAGUGGCAAGCGUUAUCCGGAAUCAUUGGGCGUAAAGCGUCAGCAGGGGGACCUUCAAGUGAAAUGUUAAAUCCUUCGACCCAAUCGAAGAGAUGCACUUCAUACUGUUGGUCUAGAAGACAGGAGAGGUAAAUAGAAUUUCCGGAGUAGGGGUAAUAUCCGUAGAUACCGGAAGGAAUACCAAUAGCGAAGGCAAUUUACUGGUCUGUUCUUGACCCUCAGUGACGAAAGCGUGGGUAGCAAACAGG